rnacentral:rRNA from 1 species
UACGAAGGGUGCUAGCGUUGUUCGGAAUUACUGGGCGUAAAGCGCGCGUAGGCGGUAAUGCAAAUCAGAGGUGAAAUCCCGGAGCUUAACUCCGGAACUGCCUUUGAAACUGCAUUGCUGGAGUGUGUGAGGGGAUAGCGGAAUUCCUAAUGUAGAGGUGAAAUUCGUAGAUAUUAGGAGGAACACCGGUGGCGAAGGCGGCUAUCUGGCACACAACUGACGCUGAGGCGCGAAAGCGUGGGGAUCAAACAGG